GGACCCACCUGAUUCCAUCCCGAACUCAGAAGUGAAACGAAACAGCGUCGAUGGUAGUGUGGGGUCUCCCCAUGUGAGAGUAGAACAUCGCCAGGC
rnacentral:rRNA from 3 species